rnacentral:tRNA from 1 species
GUUAGAGUGGCAGAGCCCGGUAUAUUGCAAAAGGCCUAAGCCCUUUGAACAGAGGUUCAAGUCCUCUCCCUAACU